UUGAGAAGUUAAACAAUUUGGUCCAGUGAUUCGGUGAAGCACCUGAAAAUAGUGGUUGCAAAGAAGUGGGAAAUUCACAAAAAUCCAUCGAAAAGCAAACGAAUGGAGGAUAGAAGUUCGAUUUUUAUCCGUCAAGUUAGGUUUUGGCGGAUACCAAAGGGCUUGUAGCAUAGCGAUAUAAAGGUGUCUAGUAAAGGCGUUCACAUGGUUUUAAAAAAACGUUUGAGGCGUGCGCCUCAAGGCGCGCCUCGAGACGAAACGACCAAAAAACGAAUCUGAGGCGCGCCUCAUGGUGUUUUUAAUGUAUAUGCGCCUCAGGUAAAUGCCUGAACCAAAGUUCGUUGGUGUCUAUGAGGAUGAUAACGUGGUCCUAGAGUAAAAUGGUAACAAUGUCAAGAAAGCAGGGAUCCAUUCAACACUAGCUUCACUCCUUGAUGAAAACAGUUCCAAUGCCCGAUGCCCAAUAUGUUAUUUUUUGGAUUUGGUUCAUUUGUUCAUCAGUAAUAUGAAUUCUCCUCUUCCUGAUAAUGAAUUUGGAGUCAUCUGAUUUUGAAAAUGUGAUUCUCAUGUAGGCGGAUACCAAAGGGCUUGUAGCGUAGCGAUAUAAAGUUGUCUAGUAAAGGCGUUCAAAGUGGUUGAGGAUUCUAGUCCCUUGGUGGACGUUGGUGUAGAUCUAGGAGCAGUGGCGGAACUAGCCCCAAAAGUUAGGGGUAUCCUAAUUUUUUUUUAGCAUCAGGGGUAUCCUUUAUAUGAUGGAAACGGAGUUGAGGAGUAUUUUACACUACGGAAAUGGAGUUAAAGGGGUAUUUUUACACUACGGAGACGGGGUUGAGGGGUAGCCCGUGCUAUCCCUACUAACACUCUAAAAACAUGAGGUAAAUGCCUGAACCAACGUCCGUUGGUGUCUAUGAGGAUGAUAACGUGGUCCUAGAGUAAAAUGGUAACACUGUCAAGAAAGCAGGGCUCAAUUCAACACUAGCUUCACUCCUCGAUGAUCAUGUGCUUGCAGAUAAAGAAACCAACUCUAUCAGAUGUUGACACCCUGAUCAGCUUGGAACUUGGGAGUGCACAUCUUUUGAUGUUGCUGUGAUGAUUUCUGCUACAGUUAAGGAUUUGAAACUAGCUGUCGAGAAAAAAGUCAAUGAAAUAGAGCAGUCAAAGAUGGGCCAUCGCCAUAUUUCUUGAUGUUGCUGUGAUGAAUUCUGCAACAGUCAAGGAUUUGAAAAUUGCUGUUGAGAAAAAAAGUCAAUGAAAUGAAGCAGUCAAAGAUGGGUCAUCGCCAUAUUUCUUGGUAUUUCUCUUUGUUUUCUGUUACCUAGUUGCUUUUUCGUCCGUGCUUGCGUCAUUCUUGAUCAAGCUUAGACAUUUGCAACGGUGGUACGGGCAGUUCGGGUAUUGGGUCAAAAUAGGUCACCUUUAUAUGUGUGUCAUAACUGGUUGGUUUGGUUUCGUAUUUAGGUUAUUUUGUAUGAUUAAUCUGUUUGACC
rnacentral:lncRNA from 1 species